GGGAAAAGAAACAUGCCUUAUCAGAGCCUAUAGGAAUAAAAUGAUUCACAGUGCGAUAAUAGAUUCAAGUCUAUAGAGAAAGUUAUACAAAGGUAAUAACAACACAAAAAAAGUUUCUGAAUGUGACAUUGCUUUUCAAGAUAGUCCACUCCAUGUCUUAGAGGUUUUUCAAGUAUCCAUAUGGUACUUCUUCUACGCAAAUGGAGAGAUCAGCUAACCAA
rnacentral:lncRNA from 1 species